rnacentral:lncRNA from 1 species
CGACAAUUAGUUUAUUUUCUAGCAGCUAAGCUAUAAAAAGAAACAUUUGAAAUUACACAAUAACAGAAAACAUACAAAUUCAUCAACAGAGACAAUUCUUUCUGGAUCUUAACCCAACCAGAAAUUUAGCAUGUACACCUAUAUGUAAAGGAAAUACAAAGAUAAUUCAGUGCACUUUAUCUACAACCAGAAUUUUACAAAAGAUAUAGAAAUAUUCUUCUCUUGGGUGACUCACAUACUAACCCUCCAUAAAGGCAGAGGGUAUGACAUUAAAUCAUAACUCAGGCAGGCAAUUUUGUGCAAAGCUGAUAUAAUGGUGUCCAAGCACCGACUUUUUGAUGCCCCAACUUAAUGCUUGAAUAAAACUUGGGAACUUGAGAUGAAUGGCUAGUUAGCAUGUCUAUUAGACUGCCUUUCUCAAAAAGAAGGUCUUUAAAGCAAGCUUCGGAAAAGGACUGUAUCUCUUAAACUCUUCUGGAGCUAUUUAGCAAGUGCUUGUUUUGCCACUAUCCCAUAACAUUCAUAUAAGGGGAUGUUGUGUCCGCUCUUUUGCUCACACAUUCCAAGUAUGGUUUAAAAAUGAAAAGCCAGAGGAUGGUAACAAUUAAUAUUCGUAUCAUCAUUUACUGUUUUAAACGUAUGUUUUUGGUCCCAAGAUAGACAAGCCAGUGACUAUGAUACCUGUUUAGUGUGAUAAGAAAGACUGUUUAUCCUAAAGCCUGCAAUUCAUUCAUACCCUUUGCAAUUCACCUUCAUUCAUUCACAACCUGUGCAAUGUGGCUUUGUAGCCUCUCCCAUCAAGAAAUGUAAUUCCUUCUACUGCAUGAAAACUGUGUUGGCCUUGGGAUUUGCUCUGGACAAAUGUUUUAUAGUUGAAAUGACUGUGUUGGUUUUAAGCCUAGACCUCAAGAGGUCUUUUCCACUUCAGCUGGUCUCUUGGAACCCUGCUGCUACCCUGGGAAUACAAAGUGGGGCUGUCCUUCUGGAUCUAGAUAGGCACUAGUCCUAGGCAUCCCCAUUGCUGCAGCCAAUAGCCAGCCAACCUGCAGGAGCAGAGCUGCCUGAAUGACCAGUCGCUUACCGCAGGUCUGUGAGGGAGCCUGGCCAAUCCCAGAACUGCUCAGCUGAACCCACAUCAAUUUGCCGACCAACAGAAUGGGGAAGUUGGACCCAAAGACACAUACACACAGAGGGAAGACAAUGUGAAGACAAAGAGAAGACUGUCAUGAAGGCAAAAACUGUGGUGAUGAAUUUACAAGCCAAGGAGUGCCGAAGAUUGCCAGCAAACCACCAGCAUCUAGGAGAGAGGCACGAAAUAGAUUCUCCCUCACAGCGCUCAGAAGGAAGCAAGUCUCCUGACACCUUGAACUCGGCCUUCUAUCCUUCAGAACUGUGAGGCAAUAAAUGCCUGUUGUUUAAGAUACCUACUUGGGGGUCCUUAGUUAUGGCAGCCCUAGUAAACGCACAUACUCUGUUUUAAUUUUAUCUUUCUGUCUACUUUCUUGUUUACUUACAGUCAUGUGUCACUUAACAACCUGGAUAUGUCCUGAGAAAUGCAUCACUAGACAAUUUUGUCAUUGUAGGAACAUCAUAGAGCUUACUUUCACAAACCAACAUGGUACGGCCUACUACACACUUAGGCUAUAUGGUACAGCCUAUUGUUCCCUAGGCCACUAACCUGUACAGCAUGUUAUGAUACUGAAUACCGUAGGCAGUUGUAACACAAUGAUAUUUGUAUAUCUAAACAUCUGUAAACAUAGAAAGAAUGCUGUAGAAAUAUGGCAUAAAGGAUAAAAAAUGAUACAGUAUAUGGGACAUUUAUCACAAAUGGAACCUGCAGGACUGGGAGUUGCUCUGCAAGAAUAAAUUAUUAAGUUCUGAGUGAAUAUGAAGGCCUAGGACAUUGCUGUACACUACUGCAGACUUUAUACAUGCUGUUCACUUAGGUUGCACUAAGUUUAUUUAAAAAUUAAGUAAUUGCACUAUAAUGUGGGUAUGGCUACACACUAGGCCAGAGGAAUUUUUUUUAGCUCCAUUAUAGUCCUAUGGGACCACCAUUGUGUAGUUGACUGAAACGUUGUUAUGCUGCUCAUGACGAUUUAUUUUACUCUCUCCUCACCUUGGGUCGGGGGGACUUCUUGUUUAAUGCCACACCUGGUCCUUGAUCAUUGUCUGCCACAUGAUUAAUAUUCAGAAAAUGUUCUUGGAACCAAUAAAAGGG